rnacentral:rRNA from 1 species
AGCCUUAAGAAAAGAUUUAAGGUUAUACCUGCCCAAUGUGUUUAUAUAAUGAAUGGCCGCGGUACCUUGACCGUGCUAAGGUAGCGCAAUCAAUUGGCUCUUAAUUGGGGUCAGGAAUGAAUGGAGUUACGGGGUUCAACUGUCUCCCAACUAAUUAUUCGAAGUUACUAUGCAGGUGAAAAAGCCUGUGCUCAGAAAAAGGACGAGAAGACCCUUAGAGUUUUCCUUAAUGUGAUACCUAGAUAGGGUUAUCUAUAAUGGUUUAGUUGGGGCAACAUGGGAGUAAAACAAGAAACCUCCUAAAUAUAAUACACCGAUAUUUUUAAAUGUGAAUAAACUACCUUAGGGAUAACAGCAUAAUUUUAAAAAUAAGUUUGUGACCUCGAUGUUGGACUAGGAAACUUAAAGGCUAGCCGUCUUUAGGGUAGGUUCUGUUCGAACUAUGCAUUCCU